GGUUGGAGAAAAUAGGAGCAAGGAGAUUCAGUUGGUAAGAUAGGUGCAGUUUAGGCAGACAGAUAGAGGUGGUCUUAGAGAUAUAUUUUAUUGUGCAAUGGGCCGACAUGUGGAGGAAGGGAGAUGCAGAUCCUUUAAGAAAGUAAGUGCAGCAUGCCCCACCUAAUAUGAAGCAACAGUUUGAUAAGGAGGUGGAAAGAUAUAGGACAAAAACACAUUGGGAGCAAAAAGAGUACAAGAACUAAAUAUUCGAUUCAAUGGUAAAGAGAACUUGAAAGCGAGGCUAC
rnacentral:lncRNA from 1 species